UUACGUCCACAUCACACUGAAACACGGGUUCUCUUGUGAUUACUGAAGUUAAGCAGCAUCAAGUUUGGUCAGUACCUAGAUUGGUGACCGCAUGGGAAUACCAAGUGCUGUAA